rnacentral:rRNA from 1 species
UACGGGGGGAGCAAGCGUUAUCCGGAUUUAUUGGGUUUAAAGGGUGCGUAGGCGGCCUGUUAAGUCAGGGGUGAAAGACGGUAGCUCAACUAUCGCAGUGCCCUUGAUACUGAUGGGCUUGAAUGGACUAGAGGUAGGCGGAAUGAGACAAGUAGCGGUGAAAUGCAUAGAUAUGUCUCAGAACACCGAUUGCGAAGGCAGCUUACUAUGGUCUUAUUGACGCUGAGGCACGAAAGCGUGGGGAUCAAACAGG